UCCCCGCCGGCCUCCGGGGGCGGGACUGGCGCGGCGGUUCCAGGCCACUGCCCAGGGCCGAGUCCGCGGCAGGGAGCCGUGCUCCGCGUGCCCGUUACUCUCCUACGCCACUAGGGCCCGACGCAGAGGCGGCGGCGGCCGGGGGCCGAAGGCAGGAGCGAGCUCCUCGGACCCCAUGUGCACCCCCGCCCCGGGCAAAACCAGGGCUCCCCAAGAACAUCAGCGAUUACAAGCCAGCAAUCUUCUACCCAGGGCCAAGUGACGUAAGGAUCAGUCUUGCUAAGAAAGCAAAGUCAACUGUGACAGUCAUCCCACAUACGGAAAGUCCUCUGACUUAGGUCUUGGAAAGAAUGUGAACAGCUAUGAUCUUCAGGGGGAAACAAACAAACAAAACAAAACUUCAUGCUGUUUCUCUUGUGUCUGUUCUCCCCCCUCCCCACUAAAAGUAUAAUAAAAUAUUAAUAAUGGAACA
rnacentral:lncRNA from 1 species